rnacentral:rRNA from 1 species
GACGAACGCUGGCGGCGUGCUUAACACAUGCAAGUCGAACGGAAAGGCCCUGCUUGCAGGGUACUCGAGUGGCGAACGGGUGAGUAACACGUGGGUGAUCUGCCCUGCACUUCGGGAUAAGCCUGGGAAACUGGGUCUAAUACCGGAUAGGAGCCAUUUUUAGUGUGAUGGUUGGAAAGUUUUUUCGGUGUAGGAUGAGCUCGCGGCCUAUCAGCUUGUUGGUGGGGUAAUGGCCUACCAAGGCGGCGACGGGUAGCCGGCCUGAGAGGGUGGACGGCCACAUUGGGACUGAGAUACGGCCCAGACUCCUACGGGAGGCAGCAGUGGGGAAUCUUGCCCAAUGGGCGCCAGCCUGAUGCAGCGACGCCGCGUGGGGGAUGACGGCCUUCGGGUUGUAAACUCCUUUCGCUAGGGACGAAGCUUUUUGUGACGGUACCUAGAUAAGAAGCACCGGCUAACUACGUG